rnacentral:rRNA from 1 species
UGGGGAAUUUUCCGCAAUGGGCGCAAGCCUGACGGAGCAAUACCGCGUGAGGGAGGAAGGCUUUUGGGUUGUAAACCUCUUUUCUCAAGGAAGAAGCACUGACGGUACUUGAGGAAUCAGCAUCGGCUAACUCCGUGCCAGCAGCCGCGGUAAUACGGAGGAUGCAAGCGUUAUUCGGAAUUAUUGGGCGUAAAGC